CCCCUCGCAGAAGGCACAAACCUGCUGAAGUUGAAGUGUUUUAAUCUAAUCCAAGAUUUGUCGCUGAUUGCUCUCCACUAGAUAAGGAUUGAAGAUGUCUGUAAAAAUAAUUGUGUUAUUUGCCGUCAUCUACGUGGUCAACUGUCGCGUGCCAUCAAAUCCGCUGAAACGCAUGUUUGCUGGCGUGGAUAAGCGAGCACCAUCAUGUGCCUAUGAUUGCGUUCCCAUCUGUUAUGAUGACGGUUAUGGAAGCUACAACCGUCGAUCCGGUUCCUGCAGCAAAUCUGGUUACAGCUGCUGUGAAUGGGUUGUACAUGGCAAAAGGGAGAUUAAGGAGGAAAAGCGAGCACCAUCAUGUGCCUAUGAUUGCGUUCCCAUCUGUUAUGAUGACGGUUAUGGAAGCUACAACCGUCGAUCCGGUUCCUGCAGCAAAUCUGGUUACAGCUGCUGUGAAUGGGUUGUGCAUGGCAAAAGAGAUGCUACUUUGGAGUAACUGGAUGUGUUUCUCCGCUGGUAGAGGCUUGCCAUAUAAUGACGGCUGAUCCUGCACAGCAGCACCAACCUGACGGAGAUUUUGUAGCUUGCAGCUUAAUGUCUUUCAUAGAAACGUCUGUAUCUAAACUUUAGAGCAAGUGUUCAAUAAAAUAGGGCAAAUGGA